rnacentral:lncRNA from 1 species
GGGUGAGCGGCCAACAGAAGGAAAAAAGGGACCAGCAGCAGGUGAAACAGAGCUCUCAACCUUUGACAGUCCAGGAAGGAGACAUUUCAAUUCUGAACUGUACUUAUGAAAACAGUGCCUUUGACUGCUUCCCAUGAUACCAGCAAUAUCCUGGCAAAGGACCUGCAUUAUUGAUCGCCAUGAGGUCAGGUGUAAAUGCAAAGGAAGAUGGAAGAUUGAGAGUUUCCCUCAGUCAAAGUGCCAAACAUGUGUCCUUGCACAUCAAGGCUUCCCAGCCUGGAGACUCAGCCACCUACUUCUGUGCAGCACGUGCACAGUGCUCUCCAGGCACCUGCAGCCUGUACCCAAACCUGCAGCUGAGGCUCCAGCCAAACCCUGCUGUGAAGAUGAAACAGUCACACACACAACCACCCACACAGACAUACACACCAUUUGGUCAUAAAGAACUCACAAUACAUUUUUUUCUUUGCUAUUUUAGAGCCACACGCACGGCAUUUGGAGGUUCCCAGGCUAGGAGUCAAGUCAGAGUUACAGCUGCUGGGCUACACCACAGCCACAGCAAUGCAGGAUCCGAGUCUGUGACCUACAGCAUAGGUCACGUCAACGCUGGAUCUUUAACCCACUGAACAAGGCCAAGGAUCAAACCCUCAUCCUCAUGGAUCCUAUUCGGGUUCAUUAAUUGCUGAGCCACGAAGGGAACUCCCACAAUACAAUUUUUUAAAAAACUGAAAUUAUGCAGAAGUUUUCCAAAAGUGGAACUGAUUUAGAAAAUCAAUUGCCAAAUGAUAUUUCUAGAAACUCCCAAAUAUUUGGAAUUUAGACACUAAGUUUUAAAAUAACUCAUAGGUUAAGGAAGCAAUUACAAUGGCUAUUAGAAUAUAUUUGAAAGAAAAUGUGUUGCAAACAUAUACAUACAAAUAAGGAUGUGACACAGCUAAAAUAAUACAUGGAAGGAAAUUUAUGUUUUAUGUACUCCUAUUACCAAAGGAAAAAGGUUGACAAUUAUCUACAUCUUUUACCAGAAGAAGAUAGAAAAAGAACAGAUAAAACCCAACAUAACCUAAAAGAAGGAAAAAUUAAAAAUUCAAAUUGGCAAAUCUUUAAGAAAACACAAAUAGAGAUAGUCAGGAAAUACAAAGUUAAUUUUCUUAAAAUGAUUAAUAAAAUUGAUAUAUGCCUAGCUAGAAUCAUUCAAGGAGUUAUCAAUGGAAUAAAAGGGGGGAAACACAAAUUAUACAUACAAGGAAUAGAAAAGAAAACCUUGUGUAGAUACUACAAGGAUAAGGGGGUAAGAAAAGAACAUCAUUAACAAUUGUAUGCCACUGAGUAAGAUCAUAGAAUCAAGUCACAUAAGUUGAGGAAACUUAUUUUUUGAUAUCAGUUCAAAGGCAAAGAAAGAUCAAAAUUCAAAGCAUGAUUUCAACUGAAUGCAUAGAACUUUCUUGCCACCGUAAGGUCAAUAAUCAUGUGGGACCAUCAUUAGUUGGGAACAGUCUGUAGUGAUCAAAAGGAAGCAAACUACUGAUACAUGCAAUAAGCUGGAUGGAUCUCAGGGACGUGCUCACAGUGGAAAAAAAGUCAAUCUUAGAAGGCUCCAUAGUGCAUGAUUACACAUAUUGGAUGAUCAUGAUCCCAUUCAUAAUGUAUGAUUCUACUUACACAACAUUCUCAAUAGGACGAGAUCUAGAGAUGAAAAGGAGAGCAGUAGUUGCCAAGGGUUAUCGGAAAUUGCAUAGGUGGGGAAGGUGUGCAAAGGGUGUUUUUUGAGGAUGAUGGAACUGUUCUGCCUCUUGAUUUCAGUGGCAGUUACAAGAGCCUCUACAUGUGACAAAAUCUGAUAGAAUUAUGCAUCAAAAAAAGAGUGCAUAGGAGUUACCACUUUAGCUUAGUGGUUUAGGAACCUGACAUAGUGUCCAUGAGGGUAUAGAAUCCCAGUCUUCUUCAGUGGGUUAAGUAUCCAGAGCUUUCAUAGACUGUGGUGAAGAUUGCAGAUGGGGCUUAGAUCCAUUGCUGGCUGUGACUCUGGUGUAGGCUCAGCUGUAGUUCUGAUUCAGCCCUUAGCCCAGGAACUUAUAAAAACUGGUGAAUCACAGUAAAUUCUCUAUUCAAAAAAAUUUCAUGACUAUCAAUUUCCUGAUGUAUAUGUAUAUAUAAUUAUUAUAGUCACAUAUAUAUUUUAUAAUAUGCUGUUGCCUAGGAUGCCAUUUAUGGUCUCCUCUGCUUAGUUACAUGUAAUGGCAAACAUCUGCUGCCCUAAGCUCUCAGGGGUGAAAUGGAACAGAGGAAGAGGUGUCUCACUAAAUAUCAACACUCCUCCCUGCACCACUCAUUAGUGAGUUAUUUUGGCCUUAAAAUCAAGGGACUGGCUGUUUUAGAGACCUUGUCUGUUAUAUCAUUUCCAGUUGUUCCUUUGCCUUUGGUUUUUUUUUUAAUAGUAAUUCAUCCAUUAAAACAAUGAAACCAAAUAGAAGAUUGACAGCUAUAUUCCACCCAAUUAUGUGACAGUUUACAAAAUGCCAGUCACCACCGGAUGUGGUGUUGACAUGUUUGUAGCCUAUAGAUAUCAUGUUUUGUAGGAGUGCAUUGUAGCUCUGUGUCACACAAAGAUCUGGCAUGCUCCUCUUGACUUUAUUUUACAAAGAGAAAAAUAACAAGCCAAUAACAAGUGAGACUCAAUGUUUGGGCCAAUGGGAUAGAAAAUGAGACAUCAGGACAAUUCUAGGAAAUAUGAACUAAUAAGUACAAUUCUACUUGUGGAGGCAACUGGACUGACUAUCCUGAUUGUCUUCAGAAUCUAAUAAAUAAGACUCAGUGUCAGAUGUCCAAAGAAUAAUAUUUUAUUCCUGUAAUAAUUUCAUAUAAACAUAAACUGAAUAGAUUCUGAAAAUUAGAAGGAAUGAUUUUUUAUCAUUUGAUAUUGAAGGAACUUUUUAUAGAAAGACCUAAGGAGAGCCCUAGAAACCAGUAAAAAAGAGAUACAUUUAUUUAUUUGGAUAAGAUUGCCUUUCACCAAGAAAGCCAAAGUCUGUGAGUUUCUAAAAUUGUCAUUUGACUCCAGAUAGAGAAAAGUAAAUACAGACUAAAUGAAGGACCAGUACGUAGAACACCAGAAGGGUUCAUAGUUUAUACUAAUCUAUUUUCAAUAAGUUAGUAAAAUUUUUCUGUGGAGUAAUUACCAAUGUAUAUCAUCUUGUUUAGUCUUCAGCUCCCCUUGAUUCAAAUCAUUAAUCCUACUUGCUUUUUCCACUUCCUUUUUUAGGACCUGCCUAACAUAACGACCUGGGAAAGACAAGUAGACAAAGUAAAGGUUUGUGGGGAGCCAGACUUUUUCUCAUCUGUGCAUAGAACACGUGGUCUAUGAACAUAACAAGCCCUGCUUCCUGUCUGGGGGAGUCACACAGGAACCCAGGGACUAUGUAUAUGAGCUGCCAGACACUCCAAGACACUGAACGCUCAGCCUGAGGCACAACAAAACACACUUGUGCAGGGGAAUCCGUGCCACAUGCCGCUCUCCAGCCUGCUCUGGCUCUUCCUGGCCUCCGUCUUCUCUGGAUCCGGUGUGACCCAGGAAGUUACUCAAGACCAGCCAGCUGUGUUCAGUCAAGUGGGAGAGGCAGUCACCCUAAACUGUCGCUAUGAAAUAGGUUGGACCUGGAUCUACUACAAUCUUUUUUGGUAUAAACAGCCUCCCAGUGGAGAGAUGACUUUCCUUAUUCAUCAGUAUUCUGAUAGCUCAAAUGCAAGGGAUGGCCGCUACUCCGUAAACUUCCAGAAAGCACAAAAUUUCAUCAGCCUCACCAUUUCAGCCUUACAGCUGGAUGAUUCUGCUACGUACUUCUGUGCUCUCCGAGAUCUCACGGUGCUUGAAGUAAUAGGAAAAGGUGAACAAAAACCCCAGAGCUCAAUAAGAGAGAGCCCUCUGCUACAGGACCCAAGCUGAAAUGCACACCUGCAGACCCCAGACAAGAAGUGGUUGUCCUGUGGUUGCUUCAUCUGUGGUCUGGAUAAGAAGAUUUCUUUUUAAAUAAAAAUUCCUUCUAUGUC